rnacentral:rRNA from 1 species
UACGUAGGGUGCAAGCGUUAAUCGGAAUCACUGGGCGUAAAGGGUGCGUAGGCGGGUCUUAAGUCAGGGGUGAAAUCCUGGAGCUCAACUCCAGAACUGCCUUUGAUACUGAAGAUCUUGAGUUCGGGAGAGGUGAGUGGAACUGCGAGUGUAGAGGUGAAAUUCGUAGAUAUUCGCAAGAACACCAGUGGCGAAGGCGGCUCACUGGCCCGAUACUGACGCUGAGGCACGAAAGCGUGGGGAGCAAACAGGG